rnacentral:rRNA from 1 species
AACGAACGCUGGCGGCAUGCCUAACACAUGCAAGUCGAACGAAGUCUUCGGACUUAGUGGCGCACGGGUGCGUAACGCGUGGGAAUCUGCCCUUGGGUGCGGAAUAACUUCUCGAAAGGGAUGCUAAUACCGCAUAAUGUCGUAAGACCAAAGAUUUAUCGCCCAAGGAUGAGCCCGCGUAAGAUUAGCUAGUUGGUGGGGUAAAAGCCUACCAAGGCGACGAUCUUUAGCUGGUCUGAGAGGAUGAUCAGCCACACUGGGACUGAGACACGGCCCAGACUCCUACGGGAGGCAGCAGUGGGAAAUAUUGCGCAAUGGGCGAAAGCCUGACGCAGCGACGCCGCGUGGGUGAUGAAGGCCU